rnacentral:rRNA from 1 species
CCUACGGGAGGCAGCAGUGAGGAAUAUUGGUCACUGGCCGAGAGGCUGAACCAGCCAAGUCGCGUGAGGGAUGACGGACCUACGGGUUGUAAACCUCGUUUGUCGGGGAGCAAAGAGAGUCACGUUUGUCUCAUUGAGAGUACCCGAAGAAAAAGCAUCGGCUAAAUAGGGGCAAGCAGCAGAGGUAAUACGGAGGCUGCGAGCGUUAUCCGGCUUUAGUGGGUGUCAUGGGUGCGCAGGCGGAGGUGCAGUUCAGUGCGCAAAUUGCGGGGCUCAAACCCGUACCGACGUUGAAACUGCGUCCCUUGAGGGCGCGAGAAGUAUGCGGAAUUCGUGGGGUAGCGGUGAAAUGCAUAGAUAUCACGCAGAACGCCGGUGGCGAAGGCAGCAUACCGGCGCGCAACUGACGCUCAUGCACGAAAGCGUGGGUAUCGAACAGGAUUAGAUACCCCUGUAGUC